UCUCCUACGGGAGGCAGCAGUGGGGAAUUUUGGACAAUGGGCGCAAGCCUGAUCCAGCAAUGCCGCGUGCAGGAUGAAGGCCUUCGGGUUGUAAACUGCUUUUGUACGGAGCGAAAAGGCUCUCUCUAAUACAGGGGGCUCAUGACGGUACCGUAAGAAUAAGCACCGGCUAACUACGUGCCAGCAGCCGCGGUAAUACGUAGGGUGCAAGCGUUAAUCGGAAUUACUGGGCGUAAAGCGUGCGCAGGCGGUUAUGUAAGACAGAUGUGAAAUCCCCGGGCUCAACCUGGGAACUGCAUUUGUGACUGCAUAGCUAGAGUACGGCAGAGGGGGAUGGAAUUCCGCGUGUAGCAGUGAAAUGCGUAGAUAUGCGGAGGAACACCGAUGGCGAAGGCAAUCCCCUGGGCCUGUACUGACGCUCAUGCACGAAAGCGUGGGGAGCAAACAGGAUUAGAUACCCGUGUAGUC
rnacentral:rRNA from 1 species